rnacentral:misc_RNA from 1 species
GGAGGACAAUAACCCACCCCCCACAAAACCCAGGGUGGUGUGUUGUAUAGGUGAUAUCCAUGGCUACAUAACAAAGCUCCAAAAUCUAUGGUCAAAUCUUGAAUCUUGCGUUAACCCAUCUGAUUUUGAGACUGCCCUUAUCAUUUUCUUGGGUGAUUACUGUGAUAGAGGUCCAGAAACAAGUAAAGUUGUAGACUUUCUGAUUUCUUUGCCAUCAAAAUACCCAAAACAAUCUCAUGUUUUUCUUUGUGGGAAUCAUGAUUUUGCGUUUGGGGCAUUCUUGGGUGUACUUCCAAGUCCACCUGAUGGGUCUGAAUUUUGUGAGACAUGGAAAGAGUAUGAAAUGAAUGAGGAAAGAGAAGGGUGGUAUAAAGGUGAAAGCUUUGAGAAUAUGCACUUACAAGGGAGGAGAUGGGCUGGGAAUCAUACUGUCAAGUUUAAUGCUGUAAAGGGCAUUGAUUAUAAAGGAUCUAUUUAUGAUGCUGCUCCUACUUUUCAGUCUUAUGGUGUUCCUCAUGGUUCUGCUGAUCUUAUGAAGGCAGUUCCUGAUGAGCACAAGAAAUU